UAAUCCCACGGGGGGGAAUCACGUGACUUUGUAUAGUAAUACCCACGAGAAAAUGGCGACUGCUGAGCCCCGUAUCUGCAAUUUGGACCGAAAACGCAAAGGAGAAGACAUUCGCCAUUUCACAUUGAUAUUUAAUGCCAUCAUAGAACUGUAAAAUGAGGGCCAAGACACACCUGAAACUGCAGAGGUCAAAUAACUACUAUCGCCACAGAAAAAUAACACUGAGCCGUGUAAUAUCAAAUCCCAUCAAAAGUUCAUUUGAUAUAUUAUAAUAACAACCAAUUUAGCAUUCGUCCUAUAGACAAAAAAGUGAAAUAUUUGAUCUUGAAUAAUUUAAAUAAGUAUUUUCUAUCUCUUAACAUAUGAACUUUAACUUUCUUUUAAUGUAUAUGUAUGCUAAUGGAAACUGUGCGUGAAACUUACUAUUUUGUUUUCGUGUAACUUACUAUCCAGAAAUUGUUCGUUUUACUUACUAUACAUUUGCAAAGAACAUUUGUAGGCUACAGACCUUCGAAAAUAUAUUUUAUAUGAACUUCUACGAUAACAGAUGUCAAUAAAAUGAUUGAUUUUGUGUCUUAAGUGCAAAAAGUAAGUUUAUUUUCAUUUAUUUUGGUACCAAAUUAUAUCGCUUCGUGCAAAUUACUAUCGCUGAAUGUGCAAUUUUCACACAAUUCAAACAAUGUUCUCAAAAACCACAAAACGUAGGAUAAUGCACUUUGUAUUGUCAUUUGAAGAAAAUUAACGCGCAUAUGAUACGCUAGGUUUUGUUUUUAUUUAAGAAACGUUUGUCACCUUAAUUUAACAUAAUAAGGUACUUACCGGGGCUCAGCAGUCGCCAUUUUCUCGUGGGUAUUACUAUACAAAGUC